rnacentral:rRNA from 1 species
AUUGAACGCUGGCGGAAUGCUUUACACAUGCAAGUCCGAACGGGUAGAGGGGGCAACCCCCUUGAGAGUGGCGAACGGGUGAGUAAUAUAUCGGAACGUGCCCCAGUCGUGGGGGAUAACGUAGCGAAAGUUAUGGCUAAUACCGCAUACGAUCUACGGAUGAAAGCGGGGGACUCGCAAGAGCCUCGCGCGAUUGGAGCGGCCGAUAUCAGAUUAGGUAGUUGGUGGGGUAAAAGGCUCACCAAGCCAACGAUCUGUAGCUGGUCUGAGAGGACGACCAGCCACACUGGAACUGAGACACGGUCCAGACUCCUACGGGAGGCAGCAGUGGGGAAUUUUGGACAAUGGACGGC